AACGAACGCUGGCGGCGUGGAUUAGGCAUGCAAGUCGAACGGGACACUUAGCUUUUUCGAGUGUUUAGUGGCGAAAGGGUGAGUAACGCGUGGGUAACCUACCCAGAGGAUAGGGAUAACCUGUCGAAAGACGGGCUAAUACCAAAUAAGACCACGUUUCCGUGAGGGAAUGAGGUCAAAGAUGGGGACCGCAAGGCCUGUCACCUUUGGAGGGGCCCGCGUCCUAUCAGCUAGUUGGUGAGGUAAUGGCUCACCAAGGCAAAGACGGGUAGCUGGCCUGAGAGGGUGGUCAGCCACAUCGGGACUGAGACACUGCCCGGACUCCUACGGGUGGCAG
rnacentral:rRNA from 1 species